CGUUCCAGAGGUGCAUUAUACAUAGACAUUUGUAAAUGCACCCUCUAGAACCAU
rnacentral:pre_miRNA from 1 species